AGUGAACGCUGGCGGUAGGCCUAACACAUGCAAGUCGAACGGCAGCACAGUAAGAGCUUGCUCUUACGGGUGGCGAGUGGCGGACGGGUGAGGAAUACAUCGGAAUCUACUUUUUCGUGGGGGAUAACGUAGGGAAACUUACGCUAAUACCGCAUACGACCUACGGGUGAAAGCAGGGAUCUUCGGACCUUGCGCGAUUGAAUGAGCCGAUGUCGGAUUAGCUAGUUGGCGGGGUAAAGGCCCACCAAGGCGACGAUCCGUAGCUGGUCUGAGAGGAUGAUCAGCAACACUGGAACUGAGACACGGUCCAGACUCCUACGGGAGGCAGCAGUGGGGAAUAUUGGACAAUGGGCGCAAGCCUGAUCCAGCCAUACCGCGUGGGUGAAGAAGGCCUUCGGGUUGUAAAGCCCUUUUGUUGGGAAAGAAAAGCAGCAGGUUAAUACCCCGCUGUUCUGACGGUACCCAAAGAAUAAGCACCGGCUAACUUCGUG
rnacentral:rRNA from 1 species